rnacentral:rRNA from 1 species
AUUGAACGCUGGCGGCAGGCUUAACACAUGCAAGUCGAGCGAGCGGCGGACGGGUGAGUAAUGUCUGGGAAACUGCCUGAUGGAGGGGGAUAACUACUGGAAACGGUAGCUAAUACCGCAUACUAUCGGAUGAACCCAUAUGGGAUUAGCUAGUAGGUGAGGUAAUGGCUCACCUAGGCGACGAUCCCUAGCUGGUCUGAGAGGAUGAUCAGCCAAACUGGGACUGAGACACGGCCCAGACUCCUACGGGAGGCAGCAGUGGGGAAUAUUGCACAAUGGGCGCAAGCCUGAUGCAGCCAUGCCGCGUGUAUGAAGAAGGCCUUCGGGUUGUAAAGUACUUUCAGCGAGGAGGCGUUACUCGCAGAAGAAGCACCGGCUAACUCCGUGCCAGCCGCCGCGGUAAUAC